UUCAACUUCUUCACUCCCACCCACGAUCUGCAACUCCGCCCACCUUCUUACAUAUUAGGUAAAUUGUUCCUCUCUACUUCUUCUUCUCUCUGUUCGAUCUCAAAUAAAAACCGGAUUUUAUUUACAUUGCCUAUUCGAUUCGAUCUGGUUUUAUCUUCCUAUGGAGUUUGAAUCGGAAGUCCCAAUCAGUCAGUUGAUGCUUAUUUUUGUAUCUAUAUAUAUAUCUAAUACAAAGUUAUGGUUGAAAUUAGAAGAAUACCCAGUAAACAGUGUGGUUUGCUGUUUCUAUGUUUGUUGUUGUUGCUUUGUGGAUUUCUGUCCAAUUUGAUGUCGAAACUGAUAUUCGAUUAAGCUGAAGCGGCUUGGGUUUUUUUUUUGGUAAGAGUUCGAUGUUGUUAUCAGCUUUUGAACUCCAUUGGUUAUUAUGUGUAAUAAUUUCUUCAACAGAUAAUUCAUUAUAAUUUAGGAUUUUCUUAUUUGAAAUCAUGGCAAAUCAUUUUCCAAUUUUGAUUGCGUUUGAAUUUAAAAUUAGAUACCCUAUGUUAAGCAUUGCUAGAGUGUGGAAUAUCCAUGCCCUUUCUGUUUAUGAGCAAGGUAAGUUAGUUUCUUCCUGAGGCAUCUUGUUUUGUACAGAUACCUGCUUUACAGAUGAAUUGGUUUUCCAUGUUGCUCUAACAAUGAGUAUAGUGACACAUUAUAUCCUUGCACCGUUCACCAUUACAUGUAUAUGACCUUACACUGUACAAAUAAAAUCGCCUUCUUGAUAGACGGACAAAAACAGACCGGUUGGGAAAUAAGCAUUUGACCCUUGAUAUAAUCACUAUAUGUUACCCUUAUGGGUGUAAAUUAGUUAACCUUGAUCAAAGUUGGUCAGGGUAAAGGUUCUCAUGCUGUUCAACUUAUUUGAUGAUCUCGAAACUUAUAACUUAUUAACGCAUAUGUGAAUUUAACCAUUUAAUUCAUCUGCUAUCUAACUGGGUUUCAAUAUGGGGAAAGGUUAGCAUAAACAAAUAUUAGCGGUGUUUAGACCUCAUCAGUUUUGGUACUGUUGCAUGGACGAAAGCAGGAGGCUGUAAUUUUUUCCAGGAAGAUAUGCACCAUUAAGAUGUACAAGAGCGAUGAAGUUGAUCUUGAAGACUAUAUGUCUCACCCUGAAUCAGAUGGUUGUCAUGGAUGAGGUCAGCUUCCAGCAGGAAGCAUCAGCGACAGAGUUUGAUUGGCUUUGUCAUAAAUAUCCAAUUGCAAAGACGAAUGACUGGGUUCCCAUUCCGAAAGUGGCCUUUCCAAAUGAGUUUUUAAGCGCGACUUUGUUGCCGUUCAGUUUUAUGCGGUUCAAUUGCAGGUAACUUUAUUUCCUCAGCAGGGAUAUUCAAUAUCUUUGUACCUUCAUUGUUAUGUAUUUUACUGAUUUUUAAGUCGUUUGAUUACCUGUCUUUUUCAUGUCUUUCAUCCUCUUAUCGUGCACAAUUCAUUUAUCUGAAGUAUCUUUAAACUUGGAUGCACCAUACCCAAUCAAGAAAAUUGAUACAAGUUUUUUAGACUGUAAAUCUUUUCGUAUAUGCUGAGUAUGUUUUAGAAGGAUGAAGUGCGAAGAUUCGUGAACUAAUGUUGUAACUUCUUAAUGGAACAAAAAGUUAGUUUGGCAUGAAGAUUUGCUCUAUUUCCUCUAAGGACACUAUUGUGACCUUACAAAAGCGACUGUAGGGGAUGUUUAUCGCUGUCGAAUGUGUUAUUCAGCUUAUGGUUUCCCAUCCUUUCCAGUUUUAAUUCGGAAUAUUAUUUCUUUUCACCUUAUAGCUCAGUUGUGUCUAUAUUGCGGACAGUUUUAUUGUUAAUAAUUAUCGUUCAGUGUUGUAUCUGAUAUGUGGAGUUGUUUUUUCCAGUAGAUGCGGGACCCAGCCGAAUUUAAAGCUUUUAGCAAACUAUGGCUUUGUUAAUGAAGAUAACCUUUAUGAUUGCAUUUGAUUCAGGCGAAAACUGAGUUGAUUCUGACAAGUUUGUUUGUAAUCCUACAUGUUCUCCGUUUAUACCUUGUAUAGUUCUUGCAUGUUCUCUUUGUUCCAGGAACCCUCAGCACCAAAGAUCCGCAAUACCAUGAUUAGAGUUUGGUUGCUCAACUAAAUGGAAAACUUUCUAUACAAAUCUUUCAUGUGUGGGAUCUAAUCAUUGCGCUUUUCUGUUUCUUUAUUAUGUAAAUCCUUAUUCAUUUAAACUUGUGUUAUGGGACUAUCCUAUGCAAUAACAGGUGUUUGCUGGCAAAGAAAAAGAAGUAGUUUACUUUACGAUAUGCCUCCUUACGUUCAACUAGGGUAUGUUGCAGACCCAUCCGAUAUGCAAUCAUUAAUAUGUAUCAGGCCCCAUAGUUCAAGCUGAUAUCUGGUCAUUUGGGAUAAAAUGCUUUUAAGUUGGCCCAUGUUCAUGCUCCCUUCUCUAAGUAUCCUCCGAUAAAGGUGAUUGGAACUGCAGUACUUGUGAAUGGCUGGCUAUCUGAUUUAGACCUACAACGAUUUUCCACUAUGAAAAGCUGCGGGGUUAUGUUCUGAUCAUCAAGUUUAUAAGCUGAGCGAACUUCUGGAAAAGUGUAUGCAGAGAGGGAACAUGCCAUUCAAUUCCAGGCACACCAAGAUGCUAAUGCAGAUACCACACAUGCGACCUCAGAGAUUUAAAUGCACUAAGAGACUUAAACGCACUAAGUAUCUUCGCAUAAAGGUAUUUCAUUGACCUAUUCCUAUGAUCUUAAUGAGUUUCUCUUUGGAUAAAGAAACCGCGCCUGUGAAGCUGUAAUCACUUCAGUGAAUGCUCUCAGUAAGACUGGAAGUACCAUGCAUUCUGUUGGGAGUGAAUGUGUGCAUAAUUGUCACUUCCGUGAUUAGAUUUCCCUUUGGUAAUAGUCAUUAUAAGUAGGGAUUUCAUCAUUUAUUUCUUGUUCAGUCUUUGUUAACAGUAAGCUAUAUGGUUUAUGGAAUUUCAUGGCAAGGAUAGUGUUGUCCGAUUUAUAAUUAAUAAAAAUUCAA